GGGAAUGCGCCUGUUUCUUGUUGCAAUUCCAAUAAUUAUCGUCUUGCCACUUUUGAUGGGUACUUAUUUCCAAUUGGUUUUCUUCACUCCAAUGCGAUUGGGAUAUCAACAGGUAACACUUUCAGACUGGAUUUCUGAAAAUUCUGAGAAAAAAUUAUUAAAAAAUUAGCCUAAAAUCAUAAGUUUUCAAGUCUUUUUGUCUUUUUAAAAUGAUUUUUACGCCGAAAAAACGUUUAAAAUUCAUAUUUUAAUCAAUUUCGGCAUUAUAAUCGUUGAAAGCAACGAAAAACAAGACAAAAAUACGAAAAAAAGGGGUGGAGAGUUUUCAAUUUCAAAAGAAGCAUUUUUCUGCGUUUCCAUAAUAAUUUUUUUAAAGUUUCAAUUUUCAAAGUUUAUGAUUUUUCGCUGCAAAAAGUAUAUAAAUAUAUUCUGGCCACAAAAAAAGAGUAGAAAAUCUUCAAAUCAUUUCAAAAAAUCAUUUCAGACAGCACUAAUGUUCCCAUAUCAAGACUGGGCAAUGGGCGUUGUUCAAAUCAAAAUCUUCGGUGUAAUUGCUGUAAUGGGACCCGAUUGGUGGCUGAAAACAGAACUCGAUCUACUUGUGCAACGUGGAAUUGAGAAUUUUGCGGCGUUACACGUUUUCGUGAGGAUUGUCGUCCCAUGUAUACUGUAUCUAUCGACUUUUAUCGCUUUUCCGGUUGUUGUGAUCAAGUUUUACGCGUUUAUUUCAG
rnacentral:sRNA from 1 species